AGCACAGCGUCUGCGCACGGCCGGGUCUCAGGACGGGCCUGGGCGUGGCCACGCAGCCGUCCCCAGUGACGUCAUCACGGCGUGAUAAAAGGCGCCUCGGAGCGCGAGGUCAGCGAGGUGGCGCCCCUCGGAGCGCCCUGAGCCCUCGGAGCCGCUGGCUGAGAGGAGGGCCCCGGGAAACUGCUUUGGGCGCUGGCUCAGCUUCAAGGCCGUUUAAAAUGGGAUCUGGAUGUGUUCAACAGGCUUCGGAGGGCGCGGCUGGGCGCUUGGAAGCUGCAGUGUCACAGUGUGGAUGUCCAGUUCUGGCGGUGAUUUCACUCCUGACAGAAGCUGUCCCUCGAAAGCAAGCAAGCACUAGGAGAAACAGAUCUCAGUAGGCGUCCCAGACUCACGCAUUGCGCAAGGACGGACAUUUAGGUUACAUGUGUAUCUGGCGUGCGUCGGAAGAGGAGCCAUGUGGAGAAGAGCUGGGUCACAGGUAUGCCUGUUUCCGUUCUCAAGAUAUUGCCAAUUUCUCUCCCAAGUGGUGGUUACUUGUUUACACUUCUCCCAGCAUGAGAAUAUUUGGUUUUUCCUCAUCAUUUAAUUUAUGUAUUUAUUUUUUGGUUAAUCCUCACCCAGUUAGAGAGAAUGGAAGAGGAAGGGGGAGGGGGGGAAGAAAGAGAGAAAAACAUUGAUGUGAGACACAUCAAUUGGUUGCCUCCCAUACCCAAACACCAGGUUGGGGUCGAACUUGCA